UACGUAGGGUCCGAGCGUUGUCCGGAAUUAUUGGGCGUAAAGGGCUCGUAGGCGGUUUGUCGCGUCGGGAGUGAAAACACGGGGCUUAACCCCGUGCCUGCUUCCGAUACGGGCAGACUAGAGGUAUGCAGGGGAGAACGGAAUUCCUGGUGUAGCGGUGAAAUGCACAGAUAUCGGGAGGAACACCGGUGGCGAAGGCGGUUCUCUGGGCCUUACCUGACGCUGAGGAGCGAAAGCGUGGGGAGCAAACAGG
rnacentral:rRNA from 1 species